rnacentral:rRNA from 1 species
UCAGGACGAACGCUGGCGGCGUGCUUAACACAUGCAAGUCGAACGGAAAGGCCCUUCGGGGUACUCGAGUGGCGAACGGGUGAGUAACACGUGGGUGAUCUGCCCUGCACUUCGGGAUAAGCCUGGGAAACUGGGUCUAAUACCGGAUAUGACCUCAGGAUGCAUGUCUUGUGGUGGAAAGCUUUUGCGGUGUGGGAUGGGCCCGCGGCCUAUCAGCUUGUUGGUGGGGUCACGGCCUACCAAGGCGACGACGGGUAGCCGGCCUGAGAGGGUGUCCGGCCACACUGGGACUGAGAUACGGCCCAGACUCCUACGGGAGGCAGCAGUGGGGAAUAUUGCACAAUGGGCGCAAGCCUGAUGCAGCGACGCCGCGUGAGGGACGACGGCCUUCGGGUUGUAAACCUCUUUCAGCACAGACGAAGCGCAAGUGACGGUAUGUGCAGAAGAAGGACCGGCCAACUACGUGCCAGCAGCCGCGGUAAUACGUAGGGUCCGAGCGUUG